AGUGGCGGACGGGUGAGUAACGCGUGGGUAACCUGCCUCAUACAGGGGGAUAGCAGCUGGAAACGGCUGCUAAUACCGCAUAAGCGCACAGUACCGCAUGGUACGGUGUGAAAAACUCCGGUGGUAUGAGAUGGACCCGCGUCUGAUUAGGUAGUUGGUGGGGUAACGGCCUACCAAGCCGACGACCAGUAGCCGACCUGAGAGGGUGACCGGCCACAUUGGGACUGAGACACGGCCCAA
rnacentral:rRNA from 1 species